rnacentral:misc_RNA from 1 species
AUGAAGAACGUAGCGAAAUGCGAUAAGUAGUGUGAAUUGCAGAAUUCAGUGAAUCAUCGAAUCUUUGAACGCACAUUGCGCCCCUUGGUAUUCCAUGGGGCAUGCCUGUUCGAGCGUCAUCUACAACCCUCAAGCCCUGCUUGGUGUUGGGCGUCUGUCCCGCCCCCGCGCGCGGACUCGCCCCAAAUCCAUUGGCGGCGGCCCUUGCCUCCCUCUCGCGCAGCACAUUGCGCUUCUCGAGGCGUCGCGGGCCGCGCUCCACGAAGCACGCAAACCAGUCUUUGACCUCGGAUCAGGUAGGGAUACCCGCUGAACUUAAGCAUAUCAAUAAGCGGAGGA